ACAGGGACCCCUUGGGAGUCAUCUACAUAAGCUUUCUAAAACCUAACUUUUAAACAGCAGCAACAGUCAAACACAGUGGAUGUGGCGGGACCAUUCUCUUAUGAUAAGGUUUUGUACUUCUAAAAUAGGUUUCCUACUCAAAGUUCGGACCAUAAUUAAUCAGUCCUGGUUGGAGACUUAUACCAAAACUGCAAUAUAUGUGUGUUUUAAGCAUGAUUUAAACAUAACUUUUCUUUUCUUUUUUUAGAGACAGAGUCUCGCUCUGUUUCCCAGGCUGGAGCGCAGUGGCAUGAUCACAGCUCACGGCAGCCUUGACCACCUGGGCUCAAGCAAUCUUCCCACCUUAGCCUCCUGAGUAGCUGGGACCACAGGCACAUGCCACCAAGCCUGCCUAAUUUUUUUAUUUUUUUUGUAGAUGAAGGGUCUUGCUAUGUUGACCAGGCUGGUCUUGAACUCCUGGGCUCAAGCGAUCCUCCCACUUCAGCCUCCCAAAGUGCUGGGACUACAGACGUGAGCCACUGCACCCGGCCUAAACAUAGUUUUCCAAGCACACUAUGGUCAUUAUCUUUAAUUUAUGGGAGAAUUAAAGAGUUGAAAUGACUCUUCACUCUUUUGAAGUGGUAGCAACUAAAAAACAUAGUAGUUUUUUAGUUUUGGCAGUAGUUAUGGCAGAGAGAUUGGAACCACUGGAUGCUGGACUUCUGGGGCAUGAUGGCUCACUCGAUAGAGAGAGAGCACUACGGAAGGGAGCCCCAUUCCCAAGCAUGGUGUCCAA
rnacentral:lncRNA from 1 species